rnacentral:rRNA from 1 species
GCGGGCGAGGUUGCUUCGGUAACUGAGCUAGCGGCGGACGGGUGAGUAAAGCUUAGGAAUCUGCCUAUUAGUGGGGGACAACAUUCCGAAAGGGAUGCUAAUACCGCAUACGUCCUACGGGAGAAAGCAGGGGAUCACUUGUGACCUUGCGCUAAUAGAUGAGCCUAAGUCGGAUUAGCUAGUUGGUGGGGUAAAGGCCUACCAAGGCGACGAUCUGUAGCGGGUCUGAGAGGAUGAUCCGCCACACUGGGACUGAGACACGGCCCAGACUCCUACGGGAGGCAGCAGUGGGGAAUAUUGGACAAUGGGGGGAACCCUGAUCCAGCCAUGCCGCGUGUGUGAAGAAGGCCUUUUGGUUGUAAAGCACUUUAAGCGAGGAGGAGGCUUACCUGGUUAAUACCUGGGAUAAGUGGACGUUACUCGCAGAAUAAGCACCGGCUAACUCUGUGCCAGCAGCCGCGGUAAUACAGAGGGUGCGAGCGUUAAUCGGAUUUACUGGGCGUAAAGCGCGCGUAGGUGGUUAAUUAAGUCAAAUGUGAAAUCCCCGAGCUUAACUUGGGAAUUGCAUUCGAUACUGGUUAGCUAGAGUAUGGGAGAGGAUGGUAGAAUUCCAGGUGUAGCGGUGAAAUGCGUAGAGAUCUGGAGGAAUACCGAUGGCGAAGGCAGCCAUCUGGCCUAAUACUGACACUGAGGUGCGAAAGCAUGGGGAGCAAACAGGAUUAGAUACCCUGGUAGUCCAUGCCGUAAACGAUGUCUACUAGCCGUUGGGGGAUUUGAUCCUUUAGUGGCGCAGCUAACGCGAUAAGUAGACCGCCUGGGGAGUACGGUCGCAAGACUAAAACUCAAAUGAAUUGACGGGGGCCCGCACAAGCGGUGGAGCAUGUGGUUUAAUUCGAUGCAACGCGAAGAACCUUACCUGGCCUUGACAUAGUAGAGACUUUCCAGAGAUGGAUUGGUGCCUUCGGGAAUCU